UGCGGGUGGAGCAGUUGGUAGCUCGUCGGGCUCCUAUAACCUGAAGGUCAUCAGUUCGAGUCUGGUCCCCGCUACCU
rnacentral:tRNA from 1 species